GAUGAAGAACGCAGCGAAAUGCGAUACGUAAUGUGAAUUGCAGAAUUCAGUGAAUCAUCGAAUCUUUGAACGCAUAUUGCGCUCUCUGGUAUUCCGGAGAGCAUGCUUGUUUGAGUAUCAGUAAACACCUCAACUUCCAUAUCUUUUUUGAAAUGGGAGUUGGACUUGAGUGAUCCCAACGCUUUUCCUCACCGAAAAGUGGCGGAUUACUUGAAAUGCAGGUGCAGCUGGACUUUUCUCUGAGCUAUAAGCAUAUCUAUUUAGUCUGCCUAAAAAACAGAUUAUUACCUUUGCUGCAGCUAACAUAAAGGAGAUUAGUUCUUGUGCUGACUGAUGCAGGAUUCACAAAGACAGGCUUCGGCCGACUUUGUAAACUCGAUCUCAAAUCAAGUAAGACUACCCGCUGAACUUAAGCAUAUCAAUAAGCGGAGGA
rnacentral:misc_RNA from 1 species